GUAGGUGGCAAGCGUUGUCCGGAAUUAUUGGGCGUAAAGCGCGCGCAGGCGGUCCUUUAAGUCUGAUGUGAAAGCCCACGGGCUCAACCGUGGAGGGUCAUUGGAAACUGGGGGACUUGAGUACAGAAGAGGAAAGCGGAAUUCCACGUGUAGCGGUGAAAUGCGUAGAGAUGUGGAGGAACACCAGUGGCGAAGGCGGCUUUCUGGUCUGUAACUGACGCUGAGGCGCGAAAGCGUGGGGAGCAAACAGGAUUAGAUACCCUUGUAGUCCACGCCGUAAACGAUGAGUGCUAAGUGUUAGGGGGUUUCCGCCCCUUAGUGCUGCAGCUAACGCAUUAAGCACUCCGCCUGGGGAGUACGGCCGCAAAGGCUG
rnacentral:rRNA from 1 species